rnacentral:rRNA from 1 species
CCAUCCCACGUUCGGAUUGCAGGCUGAAACCCGCCUGUAUGAAGUUGGAAUCGCUAGUAAUGGCAGGUCAGCAUACUGCCGUGAAUACGUUCCCGGGCCUUGUACACACCGCCCGUCACACCAUGAGAGUUGGGAAUACCCGAAGCCUGUGAGCUAACUUUUAGAGGCAGCAGUCGAAGGUAGAAUCAAUGAUUGGGGUGAAGUCGUAACAAGGUACC